UACGUAGGUGGCAAGCGUUGUCCGGAUUUACUGGGUGUAAAGGGCGUGUAGCCGGGUUGACAAGUCAGAUGUGAAAUCCUGCGGCUUAACCGCAGAACUGCAUUUGAAACUGUUGAUCUUGAGUACUGGAGAGGCAGACGGAAUUCCUAGUGUAGCGGUGAAAUGCGUAGAUAUUAGGAGGAACACCAGUGGCGAAGGCGGUCUGCUGGACCGUGACUGACGUUGAGGCUCGAGAGCGUGGGGAGCAAACAGG
rnacentral:rRNA from 1 species